rnacentral:rRNA from 1 species
CACGUGGAUAAUCUACCCGACAGUCAGGGAUAACAUUUCGAAAGGAAUGCUAAUACCUGAUAAGCCUACGCCCUCUUCGGAGGAAGUAGGAAAAAGGUGGGGACCUUCGGGCCUGCCGUUGUUGGAUGAGUCCGCGGCCCAUUAGCUAGUUGGUAGGGUAAUGGCCUACCAAGGCUACGAUGGGUAGCUGGUCUGAGAGGAUGAUCAGCCACACUGGAACUGAGACACGGUCCAG